AACGCACAUUGCACCCUUUGGUUCUUACCAAAGGGUAUGCCUGUUUGAGAAUCGUAUUACCAUCCUAAGCCUAUUCCGCUCGCUGUAAAAAGCUGGCAAUGGGCUUGGGGAGUUGAGGCCUCAACCGAUCAACGGCAACGUCGACUGGUUAGCCUUUAAAUUGAGGGUUUGCGCCGGGUCAGUCAUUCAAGUCAGACCGGUUCUAGGGCUCUGUGUGGUAAGGUGUGUCAGCUAGACAACGCCAAUAGCACUUUGCCCGCUCUCUCUAUCGCUGCGUCGCCGUCAGGUGUGCGUGCCGAUCGAGGGGACCGAUUCUGACGACCAACCUGGACAAAGACCACAACCGAGAUGCACUCGUGUCUCACUCGGCGAUCAUCACUGAUGACCAACUUCUCGUUCGUCAUCAGAUGCGCGCUGGUCUCAUGAUCUCAAAUCAGGCAAGACUACCCGCUGAACUUAA
rnacentral:misc_RNA from 1 species